rnacentral:rRNA from 1 species
UACGUAGGGGGCAAGCGUUGUCCGGAGUUACUGGGCGUAAAGCGCACGCAGGCGGUCUCUUAAGUUUGGAGUGACAGUUGGUGGCUUAACUGCCAAAGUGCUUCGAAAACUGAGAGACUUGAGGGCUUCAGAGGGACACGGAAUUCCGGGUGGAGUGGUGAAAUGCGUAGAGAUCCGGAGGAACACCAAAGGCGAAGGCAGUGUCCUGGGGAGUACCUGACGCUCGAGGUGCGAAAGCCAGGGGAGCGAACGGGG